rnacentral:rRNA from 1 species
UACGAAGGGUGCUAGCGUUGUUCGGAAUCACUGGGCGUAAAGCGUGCGUAGGCGGCUUAGUAAGUCGAUUGUGAAAUCCCGGAGCUUAACUCUGGAAUUGCAAUCGAAACUGCUUAGCUAGAGUAAGAUAGAGGACAGUGGAAUUCCUAGUGUAGGGGUGAAAUCCGUAGAUACUAGGAGGAACACCAGAAGCGAAGGCGACUGUCUGGGUCUUUACUGACGCUGAGGUACGAAAGCGUGGGGAGCAAAC